rfam:Synechococcus phage S-CRM01, complete genome.
CCGGGUGUAGCUCAGUUUGGCCAGAGCAUUCCGUUUGGGGCGGAGGGGUCAGAGGUUCAAAUCCUCUCACUCGGA